CUCUUCCAAGGUAGGCCGGGCCCACGUCCAUGCCCUUGCCGCAGUUCACCUCCCAGCCAGCCCCCACUUCCUUUCGCGCAGCGCCGGUCUUCCGGCUAGGCUCCUUUCUAAUUGGCUGGCUGGAAGCUUCCUCGGGACUCGGCCGUUCGGAGGGCGCGACAGCGGCCUCUCUAGCCGCCGCCCGUAGGUCUGGCCUCGCUCUUUGGACUGCGAGCUCUCUAUGCUGUUGGCGACGACAUGUGGCGCCUCCCGGGACUCCUGGGCAGAGCUCUUCCCCGUCUGCUGGGACCCGGCUUCCGGGGGCUGACUCCAAAGUCUACCAACCCAAAUGAGCCUCAGGCUGCCUCCUCCACUCUGCUGGUCCCUGUCCCCAGCUUUGACAGGUCAGGCCCCCAUGGCCCAGGCCCAGGCACGAACAAGGGCCCAAGGUCUCAUGGAUGGAAGGAUGCCUUCCAGUGGAUGUCUGCCCGUGUCUCCCCAAACACCUUGUGGGAUGCCAUAUCAUGGGGCACUCUGGCCGUGCUGGCCCUGCAGCUGGCAAGGCAGGUCCACUUCCAGUCGUCCCUGCCAGCAGGACCUCGACAAGCAGAGCACUGCUCUUGGCGCAGACCCCUGGACUGUUUCCUCUCAUCUCCCUUGUGGCAUCCGCGCUCCUCACUCCGGAGGCACAUUCUCCCCAGCCCUGAUGGCCCAGCUCCCAGGCACACUGGCCUUAGGGAACCCAGGCUGGGCCAGGAAGAACCCUCCACUCAGCCUGAGAACCUCUCUUCAUACAGCUCCGUGAGGGCAUCUGGUCUUCAGGGUCUCUCUGAAGAAGACCCUAGUGACCUCGGCUUCCUGCAUGCCAGCAGUAGCUUCAGAUCCAGGGCAAAGCCAGCCCAGCCUGUGUCCACCGGACAAAAGCAGGAACAAGAUAAAUCAAAAACUCUUUCCCUCGAGGAGGCUGUGACUUCCAUUCAGCAGCUCUUCCAGCUCAGUGUUUCCAUUGCUUUCAACUUCCUGGGGACAGAGAACAUGAGGAAUGGGGACUACACGACAGCCUUUUCCUACUUCCAGAAAGCAGCAGACCGUGGCUACAGCAAAGCACAGUACAAUGUGGGCUUGUGUCAUGAGCAUGGCAGAGGCACCCCCAGGGACCUUGGCAAGGCAGUUCUUUUUUACCAGCUGGCUGCCAGCCAGGGUCACCGCCUGGCUCAGUACCGUUACGCCAGGUGCCUGUUGCAAGGCCCAGCCUCCACUUGGGAUCCUGAGUGCCAGAGGGCAGUGUCCAUGCUUAAGCAGGCUGCACACUCGGGCUUGAGAGAGGCUCAAGCUUUCCUCGGGGUGCUUUUCACCAAGGAGCCACACCUGGAUGAGCAGAGAGCUGUGAAAUACCUUUGGCUUGCGGCCAACAAUGGGGACUCACAGAGCAGAUACCACUUGGGAAUUUGCUAUGAGAAGGGCCUUGGUGUGCAGAGGAAUCUGGGAGAGGCUAUACGAUGUUACCAGCAGUCAGCGGCUCUGGGCAAUGAACCUGCCCGGGAAAGGUUGCGGACCCUCUUUUCCAUGGAAGCAGUGGUUAAAGCCCUGGGGCCCAGCGAUUUGGCAGUUAAAGGAUUGAAGUCCUUCUCCAGCCCCUCCCUCUGCAGCCUCAACACUCUGCUGGCGGGAGCCUCACGCCUCCCACACGCCUCGAGCACAGGGAACCUUGGCCUCCUCUGUAGAAGUGGGCGUCUCGGAGCCAGUCCCAGGGGAACUCUUCCCCCACACAACUAUCCUUUGGAAAGGAGUCUCGUCAGACUGGGUUUUGGCUAAGUUUCCUAGGCUUAGACUGCAUGACAGAUGUUUGCCAACAUCUGACGUAUGUGCUUCUGGUGGUUCAUAAGAGGAUUUUAGAUUUACAGUGUACAUCAGCAUCUUUAAGGUUUCAAGAAGUCCUGCAGUAAAGAACUUGGUUAACCCCACGUUUGCCAGCCUGAACCAAGCACAGAGCCCAGCCACACACAGAUUGCUGCUCAAACUUCCUGGGGCACCUUCGGUAAAGUGUCAUUUCCUGCCCUCCUGUGGGACCCUACUCUCCAGUCUCCUCCCCUCCUCUUGUCAUUUUGGCUUACCGAUUCCUUCUGGGGAAGGAGUGGCAGUUCAGACAGCCGUGGGACAGCGGGCGUCCCAUGUUGAGGGCCAGAUGCAGCUCUCCUUCCCCCUCAGUCAUUACAAGUUAAGUACUGAUUCAAUUUGGGGUGCUAAACGUGGAGGUAGGAUAUUUUUAAGCUCUCCUUGUGGAAAGGCAGGAUGGAAGAGUCGUGAGAGCAAUGUUGUCAAGGGACCAGAAAUCCUUGGCUGUUCAGUCACUGCGGUCUCCGUCCAUCCCCAAGGGGUGGGCCUUCAUCCACAGACCCAGGCACUGCUGUGCUUUCGCCAUUACAAUUCCAUUGUUAAUGACUUGUCAUCAGUGCCCUGAAAGGAAAUAUGAGGUGGGGAGGACAGGGGAGUGGCCCCUGCCUGGGUUAGGUACAGGGUGACCCAAGUUUUAGGACCUGGUGCCCUUCAGCAGUGAGACUUUUGUGCGAGGCUGUGCUGACUCAGUUCCCUUAUCCAGAGAUGUUGCUUUCAGGGAUCCUUGACACAGUACAGACAAGGCUGUUCGAUUCAUUAUAUCUUCAGUGCUAAUACAGUGCAGGGUACUUAGUAAAUGUUCAGUAAAUAUCUGUUGAAGGAAUGAGUGAUUUUAUGCAUUGCCCCCUUUCCACCCAGUUCCUUGCACCAAGCCUACCUAGCACAUAGUAAGUGCUUUAAAUAUUUGUCGAAUCCAUGAUUCUGUAUACUCCCAACUGCUACUUCUGACACCUAGUAAUUGCUCAAUAAAUACAAAGUGUUUGUUGAA